GAUGAACGCUGGCGGCGUGCCUAACACAUGCAAGUCGAGCGAUUCUCUUCGGAGAAGAGCGGCGGACGGGUGAGUAACGCGUGGGUAACCUGCCCUGUACACACGGAUAACAUAUCGAAAGGUAUGCUAAUACGGGAUGAAAUGUUUUUAUCGCAUGGUAGAAACAUCAAAGCUCCGGCGGUACAGGAUGGACCCGCGUCUGAUUAGCUAGUUGGUAAGGUAAUGGCUUACCAAGGCGACGAUCAGUAGCCGACCUGAGAGGGUGAUCGGCCACAUUGGAACUGAGACACGGUCCAAACUCCUACGGGAGGCAGCAGUGGGGAAUAUUGCACAAUGGGCGAAAGCCUGAUGCAGCAACGCCGCGUGAGCGAUGAAGGCCUUCGGGUCGUAAAGCUCUGUCCUCAAGGAAGAUAAUGACGGUACUUGAGGAGGAAGCCCCGGCUAACUACGUGCCAGCAGCCGCGGUAACAC
rnacentral:rRNA from 1 species